GACGAACGCUGGCGGCGCGCUUAACACAUGCAAGUCGUGCGGUACCGAUGGCAAGUCUUCUUGACGAGCCUUCGGUAUAGCGGCGGACGGGUGAGUAACACGUGAGUAGCUGUCCGUAGGGAGGGGGAUAACGCCUGGAAACGGGUGACUAAAACCCAUAAGCCUCGAAAGAGGUAAAAGUGCAUCACUGCAGUCCUAGGGUGUAAGCUCGCGGCCUAUCAGCUAGUUGGUGAGGUAAGGGCUCACCAAGGCCAAGACGGGUAGCCGGCCUGAGAGGGUGUACGGCCACACUGGAAUUGAGAUACGGUCCAGACUCCUACGGGAGGCAGCAGUGGGGAAUUUUGGGCAAUGGGCGAAAGCCUGACCCAGCGACGCCGCGUUGGGGAUGAAGUCCUUCGGGGCGUAAACCCAUGUUGUAGGGGAAGAAGAAAGUGACGGUACCCUACGAGAAAGCCCCGGCCAACUACGUG
rnacentral:rRNA from 1 species